GAUGAACGCUGGCGGCGUGCCUAAUACAUGCAAGUCGAGCGAACGGGCGAGAAGCUUGCUUCUCUGAUGUUAGCGGCGGACGGGUGAGUAACACGUGGAUAACCUACCUAUAAGACUGGGAUAACUUCGGGAAACCGGAGCUAAUACCGGAUAAUAUUUUGAACCGCAUGGUUCAAAAGUGAAAGACGGUCUUGCUGUCACUUAUAGAUGGAUCCGCGCUGCAUUAGCUAGUUGGUAAGGUAACGGCUUACCAAGGCAACGAUGCAUAGCCGACCUGAGAGGGUGAUCGGCCACACUGGAACUGAGACACGGUCCAGACUCCUACGGGAGGCAGCAGUAGGGAAUCUUCCGCAAUGGGCGAAAGCCUGACGGAGCAACGCCGCGUGAGUGAUGAAGGUCUUCGGAUCGUAAAACUCUGUUAUUAGGGAAGAACAUAUGUGUAAGUAACUGUGCACAUCUUGACGGUACCUGAUCAGAAAGCCACGGCUAACUACGUG
rnacentral:rRNA from 1 species